UUUGUUGAUGUGCUAUUCUGGUCAGAAUUACAAUCUUGUUUCGGAAAUACAACGAAGUUUUUUAUGCAGCAAUUUGAAUCGUACAAUUUCAGAAGAGAUAAAUCAUACUAGUAGUAGAUACCUCGUUUUAUCUCAAAUAAACUAUUAUGCAUGUUAUAAGCUGUGGACAGUAAUCUCCGAAGGGGUACUCAGAGGUGACUCGCAAGCGACCCACCCGUUUUUUCGGUGUACAUUUGUAUACUCAAAUGAUAGGUCGCGAGCAGUAUCGCAGUUUUAGAAUGUGUACAAUGUACUUAGAGUACACAUCUCUAGGAUCUACAUGUGCACUGCAUUGUGCAGGUGUCCUCACGAUGUUUUCCUUCACCGUAGUACCACUUUUUAUCAGUGAACUUAAAUUCAUUAAUUGAAAAGAUUGAAUUUGGUUCGGGCGUGUGCCCGGAUUCGAACCACAACCUCUAGAAUGAGAGGCAUAGAGCUAAUCCGUUAUGCUACCAUAGGUCAAAUACACUGUACUGGCACAUAAUCAGAAAUAGGUAAGUACAUCAUUUUUAUUACAAACAUGAUUAUUUUAUAAAAUUAAUUAUAUCCAAUCACAAGCAAAUCCAAAUGAACUACUAGUGUUGACUAAAUAUCGUAUUACAAUUUAAAAGAAACUUAAUCAGAGUCAUCAUUUCAUUUCCCAUAAUUUUGGUAAAAUGCUAACUUGCAGUAUACAUGAUCAACUUUUCUUUGUGUGAGUGAAAAUAAUCAUAUCGAUCGAUUGAUUUAAAUUUGACGGAAAUCAAAAGAAAAAUUAUAUUUCAUCAGCGAAGUGCACAGUGAUCGGUGCUCGACGUCUUCCCUCUCCAUUACCUACCAGUUACGAGAAAAAAUGUCUGACGGUGAGGGAUUUUAUUCUUCCGAGGAAGAACUGCCACGGCGUCGUCCCGUGAAGCCUGCAGCGCUGAGCGCCGCGCCGAGCACGUCUACUGCUCCCGCCCCAACUCCAUCCGGCUCAAGGAAGCGGAAGACUAAAGCUUCCGAAUCCGCUUCCGAAAGUAGAGCAGCAAUCAAUAAGGGCAAACAAAAAAUUGACCUGGCGACAUACAAUCGUCGCAAAGCAACUGUGGCGGCGCUGUUCGGUGGGUCGGAUGACGAGGCGGAGGCUGCAGCGGCACUGAACAACCCGAUUCAAGAGCUGGAGAGCAGCUUAACCCGAAAAGUUGGGGAUGGGUCGUUGCGGCGAACCGCAAAAUUAGACGGAAGCCUGUUCUGCGAACUUCGUGUUUACGAAGUUCGCGAUAUUAAAAACAUAUCCCCACGGGACCGGUGGACCAAAGCGUACACCAGUCUUAAGUAUCAAUUCGAUUAUGAUAGUCCGGAAUGGACUAACAUAAUUGAUUUCAUUCGGGUUGCGAAGACCCGAUUUACACAGGAGCCAAUAUACUAUCCGAAUAAGAAGUAAAUCUUAGUUGGAUAGUAUAUGUUUCAGAAAAUCGAAUUAAAGUUAAUCGUCUUUAAAAAUAAAAACUACAAAAUAUGUUUAAAUUAUUAAAUAUUGUUCGUUGCUAAUUUAUUUAAUUUAAAUAUUAAUUAAAUUUUACCUUACAUAUUUUACAGAUACCUAAUAUUUUUUAUCGAUGAUUAACUUUAUUUAGGCUUUCUGAAACCGGCUCCUAACUAGGUUAUAGCGGUAUACCAAAUACCUUAUUUUUAACUACUUUAUCUUACUGAAAAUAUAUAAUAAAAUAUAAUAUAACUUAA